GAAGGUGGCAAGCGUUGUUCGGAAUCACUGGGCUUAAAGCGCGCGUAGGGCGGAAAUUUUAGUGUCAUGUGAAAUCCCUCGGCUUAACCGAGGAAUUGCGUGGCAAACUGGAUUUCUUGAGGCAAGUAGGGGUACAUGGAACUCUUGGUGGAGCGGUGGAAUGCGUAGAUAUCAAGAGGAACGCCAAAGGUGAAGACAGUGUACUGGGCUUGUACUGACGCUGAGGUGCGAAAGCGUGGGGAGCGAACGGGAUUAGAUACUCCGGUAGUCCACGCCGUAAACGAUGUCUACUAGGUUGUGGAGGUUCUGACACCCUCACAGUCGAAGCAAAAGUGUUAAGUAGACCGCCUGGGGAGUACGGUCGCAAGGCUA
rnacentral:rRNA from 1 species